CGAGUAGACCAGACUGCGGCGCGGGCGAUGCUUUUGCACCUGCCUGUGAGGAAAGUCCGAGCUCCACAGGGCAAGAAUAGCGGCUAACGGCCGCCGGAGGCGACUCUAGGGAAAGUGCAACAGAGAUAUACCGCCCAGCAUUCGUGCUGAGUAAGGGUGGAAAGGCGAGGUAAGAGCUCACCGGCGCGCAGGAGACUGCGCGGCCCUGCAAACCCUAUUCGGAGCAACACCAAAAUGGGAGCUAAGCCUGCCCGGCAUUCCCGACUAGGUGGCUGGAGCCCUUGCGGCAACGCAGGGCCAAGACAGAUCGUAGUUUAAUACAGAACUCGGCUUACAGGUUUAGUCGCGCC
rnacentral:RNase_P_RNA from 1 species